AUCCUACGGGAGGCAGCAGUGGGGGAUAUUGCACAAUGGGGGGAACCCUGAUGCAGCGACGCCGCGUGGGUGAAGAAGUAUUUCGGUAUGUAAAGCCCUAUCGGCAGGGAAGAAAUUGGACGGUACCUGACUAAGAAGCCCCGGCUAACUACGUGCCAGCAGCCGCGGUAAUACGUAGGGGGGAAGCGUUAUCCGGAUUCACUGGGUGUAAAGGGAGCGUAGACGGCCAUGCAAGACUGGAGUGAAAACCCCGGGCCCAACCCCGGGACCGCUCUGGG
rnacentral:rRNA from 1 species